CUGGAGGUAGCACCCUGGUUAUAAAGAAAUAUUUACAACUCAGACAUGGAUUUUAAAAAGUUUAUACCUUCCACAAAUUACUGAAAGACUAACGGGUGCUUCCAUACCCAAGGCUACCUUUAAGAAGAGUCUUCUUGUUUCCUAUCACUUGUACAAAGUCCCAGGGAACGCAUCCCACUAUCCAAACCACGGCCCCGCCCCCAGGCUUCCUGAGUCCCUUACUAUUGGUUUACUUCUAUUCCUAUGCACCACGUGGUCAUCGGCGGCUUGAUACCGAGAUUAUGCAGUUACAGACCCGUGCAGCAAACCCGUGCUCCGCGGUAGCAUAACUGCCAGAACCAGCAAGGCUUUGUGGAAGGGACCUGGACACUGUCAAAUCUGCUCCUUCCAGAAGAGUUGACAGAGCCUUGGUACAAAGGGAACACUGAGCAUGGGCUCUGUCCCUUACUGCUGCCAGCCAGCCCUGCGGUCGGUUCGGUCACCUUGUAGCCAUCUGCCGCUGCCUCAUAGCUGGCUCCCCAGCCAUGGGCUGCUCUCCUCCCACCUCCCUCAAUAGAGUGCUACUCUCAGGACCAACCAGGAAUGAGGCACACAGACAUCUGCAGAAGACACAAGGCUUGGCUCAUUAUCUGCAAUGUCUGAGCCCAGUAAUCAGAAAGUACUCAGUCCUUUCUCGAAGAGACGCGGAUGUCAUUCAACGCCUGGUAUGGCCAGAAAGCUUAAUUUGGUAAAUCACAGAUGCAGAGAGAAAGAGAAAUCGGAAGAAAAUGGUUCUGGCUCCUGAACGUUGCAAUGAUUUAAGAUGUCCGUCGCAGUGAGAGCUGAGGAUCUACACCCUUUUCCCCUAAAGAUUUCCAACCUUGACUUGAAUGCAUCUCCAGGGCUCUAUCUUGCUGACACUGACAUUUGUACUGGCCUUGCCUCUCUAGUUUCCUUGUAUUUAUCAAGACACUAAGUUUCUCACUGUUUUAAAAUGGACUUUCAUUGGGACUUCAUAAUGAAGGGUUCAAAACCAAC
rnacentral:lncRNA from 1 species